UCUCCCUUCUAGUGUGUCGAGGUAAAACCGUCUCGCGAUAACACCUCCAUUAGGUAAAAAAACAAUUUCCUUCCUCCUCUACGAAGCUAACCUGCCUGGUUGCUCGUCCUCCAGAUCUCUCUCCUCCAUGUCGUCCCUCUCCUCCACAUUCCCCUCCUUUUCUCUCUCCAUGGCCACCGUCGGGCCGUGCCCCUGCCACCAACACGCGCGCGGAUGCAGGCGGGAGGAGGCACUUGGCUUGAGCAGGGCUGGUUUUCGCCGCGCUGCUGCUCCGUCGGCAUGGGUUGUCGUGGUGCUCCCCUCCUCUGCGGCCCGUCACCUGAAGGUCGCUGUUGCCGGUGACGAGGACCAAUGGGAGGUCGGCGCCGCCACGGAUCUGCUCCCCAUUCCCCUCGACGGUCGGUCUCCUGCUCCACUCCUCUCCCUGAUCCCCUUCCCUCUCGUGCAUGCCGCCUCAACUGAUGAUUAGAUGCGCCUUCUCUCCUUCGUGUUUGGUCUGAGCAGUGGAUUGCAGCACUCGUGAUUUAGCUUGUUUCAGGGAUGGAAUGAAUUGGGCAUCAGCAUCUAACACGCACACACAGAGGAUGAUUAUGUUUAUUACGUCAACCAUGUAGAAACCAGAGAGAACUAAACAGCCCACCCUCUGGGUUUGACAUGUGCUGAAGAAAAUACAGUUCUGGUUUUCAGGGAUGUCAUUCAAUAUCCGCUUAAAAUCUCUUGUAUUGUGAUAGCGCCAUGCAACUACCACCUUGCUAUUAAGCUAGAGUGGAAUGUCAUGAUCAAGAGUUCAAGACCGAGAUAUUCUACUGAAAACCAGCUGGCGUCUUUUAGAUGUUGGGCGCCACGAUGAAAAUUGGAUUUGUUUAGUGUCCACAACUCUAGACAUGGAUCUCAUCUACCUCGUUUAUAUGGUAAUGGUUCAAGGGUUAAAUUUCUGUUCUUGGUAAUUUGUUGAGUAUGUCUAUCUAAUGAGCAUUGAAUUUGUAGGUUUUUUGUAUUCUGAUUCAGUUAAGAUAAUUAAAGAAUGAUUGUUACUUCGCCUACUAAUGUGUGGUUCAGUGUAGGGGUAUAUAUGGUACAGCGACAAGUUUGUAGGUGCCGAAUCAGGAUGGAUUAUAAUGGCGCAUAUGCAUUUUAAGUUUCCUCUCGCUUUUGUGUUCAAUCUUCUGCAUUUUUUUACCUACUAGGACCGAUUGAGGUCUAUGAGAUACUUUUUUUGCAGAUCAUCAGAAAGGCCUCCCGGUUCCAUUAUCAUGAAACCACCAAGUUACAGAAGUUCAAGGAUUACAGCAAAAAGAAGCAAACUAGAGUUCAGAUAGCAGGGGAAUGAAAAGCUACAGGUCCAAGGCCUGGCCAAAAACACAAAGCCAGUAACGUUUGGGUAGGAACUACAUUUUAAUUUCUUUGGAAAGUGCUUUCACUGCUUCUAAUAUCUAAUUCCAAAAGAAAGGCACUGAGUCAGCAAUUACCGAGUCAGCAAUUACUGACGUGCUCUAAACUGUUAACAAAUUUAUUCUAUGGAGAAAAGUGACAAGUCUAAAACAGAGAAUGAUCUUUUUGGGUACAAGAGAGUUCUUGUGGAUGAAACUCAUCUGGUUUCUAUUGGUCGCCUUCCAGUUAUGGUUAAUUCAAAAUUAUGUUGGUUGCAUGGACUCAGGGAAAGUGACUGCCUUUUUUAUUCUGGUGGACACUUUUUGUCAGGGGAAUGGAGAAGGUAUUAUUCUACUGCUCUCUCUUAAUUUAAUUAAUGUAUCAUGUAAGGAUGUUGCAUUAUCAAAUGUUUUAAACACUUCUUUUGUCACUAAUAUGGAGUACAGAGCUGUGAGAUUUCUUAGUUUUGAAUUGAACUUUUUAUAUAUAUGUCACUAAGCCCAAAUGCCCUUAUAAAGCAUUAGUGCAAAUGCUACGGGAAUUAUUAUGAGCAAUUCUAAUACAUACACACGGAGUGCUAACAAAAGAGUAGACUGGUACCCUAGAAAAAAGAGUUUACAUGAGUUCUGUGUGAAUUGGUCUACUUACAUAUGUUGAACUCUUGUGUGUUAUCCCUGGUAUGCAAAUAUGAUCUCAGUAAGCUACAAUAUGUUAUUAUAACCACAUGAUAAAAUUAUGCCGAACUAGCUAAAUAGUACCUUUUUGCUGGUUCAUAUAAAGUCUAUUUUAUUGUCAGUUGUGACAGUUCAAACAGAUACAUGUAUUAUUUAUUUAGUUGGAUCUGGCUUAGCAGCAUAUGUGUUGCAGCAAUGAGGGAUCGUGAAAAGCAUAAAUGGUGCAGACAAUGUUAUACAAAUAUGCAUGCAUCGGAAGGCUGGUUAGCGACAGAUCUGUAGUACUGAUUGCUCUCUGUUUGAGAUAUCAAACAUUUCAUUCCUCGUGUUGUUUUGAUGCCGAUGCUUGACUUAUGUGGUUGCAUAUCGACUUGCGAUAUGUUGAGCAGAUCACUGUCUCAAGGAAUGAUCAAUUAGACAAGUGUGUUUCCACCAAAAGUAAGUUGAGAUUUAUUUCUGUUCAUCUUGGUUGUAUUUAAAAUAAGAUUUUGGCAACAAUACGUAGUAUCUCUAAGUGAGGUAUUAGUUAAUGAUCAAUAAAUAAUCAGUUUGAUUUUAUUUUAACAAAUAAAGGCAUACAACUUUAUAUAUAUUCUGAAGCAGAAAAGCAAGAGUUGAGUUAUCAAUAUGCCUAAGGUUCAAGGUCACAAUAAUUCUUAUUUACAUGAGAAUAGAAGACAUGAGAUAUUUACCAUAACUCUAGACCUUUCCCACAAAUAAUAAUAAUGGUGUAAUACUGCAUAGGAGGAAGCCGUUUGGGCCUUUUACUGAUGGAUAUAUUUCUUACUUUUGUUCCUCACCAAUAAUCUCAGGAGAGGCAAGGUCGCUCGACUAGAUCAUGAAGACACUUUAGAUGGAGGCCUGAUCGUCGCUGCUCCUCUGGUUGUUGCAGUUUUAAGGGCUUAGACAGAUCGUCUGUAACUGGGGAGCUCUCUUCUCUAUUUGCCAAUGUCUUCUACUUUAUUAAUAGAAGCUGUCAUUCAUCGCCUGUAGAUAGAUCGUCAACGACCGCCGUCACCUGUCAGAGCCAUUAACUCAACCUUACCCUGUGAGGAACUGUACCUCCACUUUUGGACAGAAUGUAUGCCAUUAUCAAAACCGUGUCCCCUUCAUUUUGAACCAUCUAGCAUAUGUAUAAUGUAUAAUGCAUGGUUUAACCAGCUAUACAACUGAUUGCUACUUAUCCAAAUUGAAUCUGCUUUCAGCUCUAA